rnacentral:rRNA from 1 species
AUUGAACGCUAGCGGAAUGCCUUACACAUGCAAGUCGAACGGCAGCGCGGACUUCGGUCUGGCGGCGAGUGGCGAACGGGUGAGUAAUGUAUCGGAACGUGCCCAGUAGCGGGGGACAACCACUCGAAAGAGUGGCUAAUACCGCAUACGCCCUACGGGGAAAGGGGGGAGUCGCAAGACCUCUCACUAUUGGAGCGGCCGAUAUCGGAUUAGCUAGUUGGUGGGGUAAAGGCCUACCAAGGCGACGAUCCGUAGCUGGUUUGGUAGAGGACGACCAGCCACACUGGGACUGAGACACGGCCCA